AGUGAACGCUGGCGGUAGGCCUAACACAUGCAAGUCGAACGGCAGCACAGUAAGAGCUUGCUCUUACGGGUGGCGAGUGGCGGACGGGUGAGGAAUACAUCGGAAUCUACUUUUUCGUGGGGGAUAACGUAGGGAAACUUACGUUAAUGCCGCAUACGACCUACGGGUGAAAGCAGGGGAUCUUCGGACCUUGCGCGAUUGAAUGAGCCGAUGUCGGAUUAGCUAGUUGGCGGGGUAAAGGCCCACCAAGGCGACGAUCCGUAGCUGGUCUGAGAGGAUGAUCAGCCACACUGGAACUGAGACACGGUCCAGACUCCUACGGGAGGCAGCAGUGGGGAAUAUUGGACAAUGGGCGCAAGCCUGAUCCAGCCAUACCGCGUGGGUGAAGAAGGCCUUCGGGUUGUAAAGCCCUUUUGUUGGGAAAGAAAAGCAGCAGGUUAAUACCCCGCUGUUCUGACGGUACCCAAAGAAUAAGCACCGGCUAACUUCGUG
rnacentral:rRNA from 1 species